GUGCUCACUUCGGCAGCACAUAUACUAAAAUUGGAAUGAUACAGAGAAGAUUAGCAUGGCCCCUGCGCAAGGAUGACAUGCAGGUGCUUUCUGUUGUUUUU
ensembl:snRNA LOC120094561 U6 spliceosomal RNA